GGCUCGGCGGUGAAUGGUUCACAUCUGCGUUUCAUGCGUAAUUUGAGGUUAACCCCUUCAAGUGGAAGUUGCCUGUUCGAAUCAGGCUCGAGCCA